GUGGAAAUCACUCGUUACGUCGACCAGGAGACCUGAAAUAGAAGCCGUAGCUUAGUCAAAGAGGAGAUGCAUACUAAAGGCAACUGGUGCAUUUUACUUUAGCAGACUUGAGGACUACAAAUAGAAAUGGAGCUGCUUUUACUGCACUUUAUUUUGCCCAUGUGCCACUUCUAUCAGCCCAAAGUCAUGGAGUAAAUGAACUCAAUGGAUGUUUUUGUGGACAUCUGUGGAUAUUUUACAGGGGUGGUCCAUAGACUAAGGGAAUGAUAAAUGAUAUCUGUGUAUUCUGUCAAAGGAUGGGAAGGUGGGUGGUGGUUAUUGAUGUUGUACUGGAUAGUGUGGGACCUGAGCAUGAUAUAAAUGGUAUGGAAUAAGGGGUGGAUACUGUCCUGGUUUCAGCUGGGAUAGGGUUAGUUUGCUUCGUAGUAGCUCGUGUGGGGCUGAGUUUUGGAUUUGUGCUGGAAACAGUGGUGAUAACAUGGAGAUGUUUUAGUUGUUGCUGAGCAGGGCUUACACUGCUCAAGGACUUUCCCAGCUCCCCAGGCUCUGCCAGGGGCACAAGAAGCCGGGAGGGGAGGGGGCACAGCCAGGGCAGCUGAUCCCAACUGACCAAAGGGAUAUUCCAGACCAUGUGGGGUCAUGCCCAGUGUAUGAAGCUGGGGGAAGGAGGAGGAAGGGGGCGGACAUUCAGAGCAAUGGAGCAUGUCUUCUCAAGUAACUGUUAGGUGUGAUGGAGCCCUGCUGUCCUGGAGACGGCUGAACACCUGCCUGCCCAUGGGACGGAGGGAAUGAGUUCCUUGUUUGGCUUUGGUGGCAUGCGCAGCGUUUGCUUUACCUAUUAAACUGUCUUUAUCUCAACCCA